UAUGCGGGUAAUUUAUGCGGUUACUGGCGCGCGGCCUGGGUUUCCCCGUUUCAAGAAGCCACUCGGCGUCUGUCGUCGGCCCUGCCGAUCCCACCGUCCGCUGCCUAUCGGCGGCGACCUCUGCGCCGAGGUGGAGGAGGCGGCACACGAUACCCGUAGGUCCGAAUCCUCUUCGCUCCAAUCAUCUCCUCCUCGUCACCGUUUGUGGCGUCGACGGACGCUGCACCCUUGCCCUAGCCCUAGCUCGCUGGUUGCCAUUUGAUUUUUAGAGAGAUUGGAUUCUUAUCACCAGAUGUAUACCUAAACUAAAGACCAACCAUGUUAAAUAUCCACAAGGGUGGGAGCUUACUGAGCCCACUCUUUGAGAACUUGAGGCAAAGAUGAGAAAAGGUUAUUUGUCCUCAUUGUUUUGGUUACUCUUUUUUUACCUUCUAUAUGUGCUGAAUGUACAUUUAAGAUUCAAUUUUGUCUUAUUUAUGAAAUCCACAUGCAUUUGUACCUGAAAAUGAUCCUCAAGAUGGGAACAGAAAAUGUAAAGCACCUUCGCCUAUUUUUUGUUUGGCUCAUCCAAAGAAAAUUACGCAUACAACCUUUGUCAUCAGAGGAAGGAAAUUUCCAAGGAAUUGCAUCAAUUCUGUCUGGAUCAGGGCCAUGCAGACCAUAAUCUGAUUGUAAAGGGGGAAAAGCCAGGUAAUGAACACCUUGCUGGCUGAUGUGCAUGCAGACAUGAGUUCACAAUUCUGCAACCACUUGCGUAUGGGGUCCCUAAACACCUGAGGAAAGAAAAGAUGAUAGAAAUGUCCACUGUGGUUGCAGGGACUGUCCAAGUGAAGAUUAAGUCCUUUGUGAAAUACACAAAUAAUUCAAGAUGUGCUGACAUACUUUGAUCCAAAUUUCUUGCAAGCUUUAGCCUUUAGACAAGAGCCAGUCCCUUGCAACUUGGUAGCAAAUUUGAUGGGGCUUACAUCAUUGGCCAUGUGCUAGGUUCACCUUGACUGUCAUCACUGCUAGCCUUUGAUGGUUCAUUCGCGUCAGCAUUUCGAUGACUUGGAUUUAUGAAUCUGUUGGCUCUCAUCACACCUCAACUACCGAGUUGCUGCAAAUUCCAGUAUGAUGGUGGUACUCUAGAGCAGACCUGUACUUGGAUGAUAUCUGGUGUUGUGGUAUCACAGCCUAAAGGCUAAGCAUUUCUUGGAAGACUACCUUGGUUUUGAGCAUAGCAUCCUUGGUUAUGUGGCUCUGGCUCACUUGGGUUUGUCCUUGCUUCUUCUUUGCUAUUGGUCUAUUCUAUCAAAUACCUCAACUUGCGAAAACCACAGCCUAUCUGAGGGCUUGGUUGAAGCAACAAAUGAUUACCCUUGAGGGGGCAAGGUAGGGUCUUGAAUUUGAUUGCCCUUGUGCCCCUGCAGGUUCAGGCUUGCUCAUCAAGGAUGCUGGAAAUGUCCCCUCUAUGUUUGGGAAGUGGCUGUGGUAGAGCUAUCAAUCCUUCUCCCUAAAGCAGCUAAUCAAGUACACUUUUCCUCCUUCCAAAUCUUUUGCAAAUUUUGUAAAGGGAAUUUUGCCAAUUCCUUGGUGUUUUAGGAACUCUUUUCAACAUAUUUUCUCUAUUCUUGUCGACAUUUGCUACAUCCCUAGGGCUGGUAAUUUUAUUAGCCGACCAUUGGAGGUCCCAAGGUUUUCAUUUUUUUUUUAAUGUCAUUACUGAUUGCUCAGUUGACCUGUAAUAACUUUAUACAGGCUAAUUAUAAAUUAUCUUUCGGAA